AUUGAACGCUGGCGGCAGGCCUAAAACAUGAAAGUCGAACGAGUGGCGGAAGGGGGAGUAAUGUCUGGGAAACUGCCUGAUGGAGGGGGAUAACGACUGGAAACGGUAGCUAAUACCGCAUACCAUCGGAUGUGCCAAGAUGGGAUCAGCUAGUAGGUGGGGGAAAGGCUCACCUAGGCGACGAUCCCUAGCUGGUCUGAGAGGAUGACCAGCCACACUGGAACGUAGACACGGUCCAUACUCCUACGGGAGGCAGCAGUGGGUAAUAUUGCACAAUGGGCGAAAGCCUGAUGCAGCCAUGCCGCGUGUAUGAAGAAGGCCUUCGGGUUGUAAAGUACUUUCAGCGGGGAGGCGUUACCCGCAGAAGAAGCACCGGCUAACUCCGUGCCAGCAGCCGCGGUAAUUC
rnacentral:rRNA from 1 species